rnacentral:rRNA from 1 species
UACGGGGGGAGCUAGCGUUGUUCGGAAUUACUGGGCGUAAAGCGCGCGUAGGCGGCUUUUUAAGUCAGGGGUGAAAUCCCGGGGCUCAACCCCGGAACUGCCCUUGAAACUGGAUGGCUAGAAUACUGGAGAGGUGAGUGGGAUUCCGAGUGUAGAGGUGAAAUUCGUAGAUAUUCGGAAGAACACCAGAGGCGAAGGCGACUCACUGGACAGUUAUUGACGCUGAGGUGCGAAAGCGUGGGGAGCAAACAGG